AAGUCGUAACAAGGUUUCCGUAGGUGAACCUGCGGAAGGAUCAUUACCUAGAGUUGUAGGCUUUGCCUGCUAUCUCUUACCCAUGUCUUUUGAGUACCUUCGUCUCGCGGUCGGUCCGCCGCUGACAUUUGAACCAUUAACCUUGUAGUUGCAAUCAGCGUCUGAAAAAACAUAAUAAUUACAA
rnacentral:misc_RNA from 1 species